GUUCGCCAUCAUAAGAUGACUUUUUGUCUAUGAAACGAAAAAACGGCAGUCCGGUGCAGAUCACCACUCCGGAGCUGGGAUGGAUGACAACGGCGCUAAAGCUUACGGGCGCACGGGCUGAAAAAGCUUCAGUCAAGACCAAACAACCCUCGGAGCGCAUCCUCACUGAUGGCCUCUGGACGAUCAAUUUUGUUUCCCAAGAUGAGGACGGGCACAGUGGAGAUGGUCUCAUCUGUCAAAAGCGCCUGAGCACAGAAGAGGAAGAGUCACAUUUCAACAAAUGUUGUGACGUAAAGGCCAAGAAAGGUAAGGUUCAAACUCACAUCCAGCUCCACUUUAGCUUCAGCUAGUCGCUCACGAUCAGCACAGUCCACCAUGUAGACGAUGCCGUUUAUGGCUGGGAGGUAGUUUUUCCAAAUGCGUCGUGCUAGGACAAAUUUAAAAAAAAAAAAAGCAAAAUCUUUUUAGUUCAAAAUUGCCAGAUGACCAAACAGCAGCCCUCUUCUCCUUUACCUUGUGUGUGACCGCCCAGGUCAAAUGUGGUAAAUGUCAUUCCAGCAAUGGUGAGCUCCUCAGAUGCUGAACACAGACAAAGUGGCAUGAGAUUAUUGAAAUAGAGUAAGGAUAGAUAAUAAGAAGGAAUGGAUAGAUAUACAGAUAGGAUAGGUAAAUAGCUACUUGGGUGCAGCGUGGGCACAUGCUGGCCCAGCCUGUCAUCUCUGAGCAUGUGCAGUAGUGUCGUUUUGCCGGCAUUGUCUAAUCCGAGAAACACCAGCUUGCCGGAUUUCUUGUACAGUCCUGCACAGUCAGAAAAGGUUUUUUUUUCAGUUGCUGAUCAUCAAACAUACUAUUCCUGACUUGCAUGAAAAAUACACUGGAACAUCCAGAUUUAAUAACUUAAAGCACUUAAAUGAAAUAAUAGCACUUAAAUGAAAUAAACUGGAAGUUGAUAGAACAAAUUGUGGGAAACAAUACCUAACAACUGCAGCACGCCACUGAAGCCUCUGUAGAUCCAGUUAAAAAUAAAAGACAUGGUGCUCGACUGCCUGUAAUGCAGAUAAGCAUAAAUUAAUCACACGAUGUAAAACAAAGCAAAAAAAAGUCAAAAAUAUUGCUGACUGUAUUGCAAAAUCACCAAGUAGGCCGCUUUCUUCUUGAGCCUUAAUGCUACUGGUAUGUGUAAGCUGUAAGAAAGAUAAAAAUAAAUCUUUCCUUGUACUGAUUGUUAUUGUUAGUCUAUUUUUGUCAUUUUACAUCUUACAGCACUAGAGCCGCAAUUGUUGUCAAAAUUCUCUAUGGAUAAAGUUGUGUUGAGUUAAAAAUCACAGAUACCCAAAAACUAAAAUAAAGUGAGUUUUUGUUUCGCUGACUUCCCAGACAUACACAUGCGGAUCAUCCCUGGACUAUUUUUGUUAUGACAAGUUGUAGCAAGGACACUUGAUCUCCACAAGGGUCUCUGUCACACAUGCACACACCUGUCAGUCACCCUGUUUGCAACUCUCUGGGCUUAAUGUACUGCGUAUGAGGGCCUCAUUUGAGGAAAAUAGAACGAAAUUUUGUUUCAAAUUCCACAACGUUAAAGGCCUCCCACGUAAAGGUUACAAUAAAUUCGUCAUUAUUUUCCGAUUUAAGAGCUUUUGUUGAUAGAUAUGUUUUAUUUAAUGACGUCGCGAAGCAGUUUUCAACUCUUAUUUAGUGAAAGCCGCCGACUUUAGGUCAUCGUACGAGAACAGAUGUAACAAACGUUUAGCCGCCCCAAAGUAAACAAUAACAAUCUUUUAAGUAAACAAGCGAGCAGAAAAGUCUCGAAAGAAAAAAACUAAUUUCAAGACGGGUCGUCACAUUGAUGGUAACUGACGCUACCGAGUGCAAGUUGGUCAAUAAUUACCUUGUUCCGACCGAUUUAUGAUGCCACUGUCCGCUGUCCUGUCAGAUGUAAAGCACUACGCAAGUUUGACAUUUAACCGGAAGUACGUCAUCACGCUAGCCUGUUUGAUGCUAGCUCACCAUGUUAACCGCCUCGAUUAAAAAUAGAUAAAAUAGAUAAGAAUACGGAAUGUAGUCUCUAAAUAUGAUUUAUUUUCAGCUAUAGAAGUUCAUCAUCGUAUUAAUACAUUUUCUAUUUUUUAGUUCGUCUCAUAUAAUACGGUAUCGUUUGAUGUAAUAUGCAAACAAAGUUUUGAUGAAAUUCACGAUAAAGUCAUACAAUACAACAUAACAUAGAAAAAAUACAUAACAUUCAAAUUUUAAAUGCAGGACUACCCAAAACUAAUUUGUAGAGUCAUAAUGCCCAAAUAUUAUGAUGCAAACAUUUUAAUUAUAUUUCUUUCGUUUGAUUUUAUUUAUUUGAAUGAUGUAUUAAAAGCAAAGACGACGUGUGAGAAAAUGUUGCUUUGUAUUACAGCACCAGUUAGAGCACGUAUAAAUAUUUUGCCCUGCAAUCAGUUGUUCUUGUAAUUUUCAAUCUUUAGCGUCACACCAAGUGCGGGUAAUACAUCUGCAUUUUUUCUUACCUUAUUUGGUCACGCGAGAAUUGCAAAAUAUUACAAGUAAAAGUAGAAGUAAAAAUCAAUUUAAAAAAAAUACACUAUGUAUAUGCAGUGACGUGCAUUUUUAUUGUGAACACGGGGUGGCACCAUUACACCGCCACCACAUUCAAAUGUGCGCGU